rnacentral:rRNA from 1 species
UACGUAGGGUGCAAGCGUUGUCCGGAAUUAUUGGGCGUAAAGAGCUCGUAGGCGGUCUGUCGCGUCGGAUGUGAAAAUCCAGGGCUCAACCCUGGACCUGCAUUCGAUACGGGCAGACUAGAGUUCGGUAGGGGAGACUGGAAUUCCUGGUGUAGCGGUGAAAUGCGCAGAUAUCAGGAGGAACACCGGUGGCGAAGGCGGCUUUCUGGACAGUAACUGACGCUGAGGCGCGAAAGCUAGGGGAGCAAACAGG